AAAAUKUCGUAACAAGGUUUCCGUAGGUGAACCUGCGGAAGGAUCAUUGUCGAAACCUGCCUAGCAGAACGACCCGCGAACCCGUGGCAGAACACGCGGGGGCCGCGGGGGGCGCCCGCCCCUCGCCUCCCCGGGGCCGUGGCGGGACGCGCAUGCGCCCGACGCGGCUUCGCCAACUAACCCCGGCGCGAGAAGCGCCAAGGAACUAGAGUACGAAGAGCGCGUCCCCGACGCCUCGGGCGCUCGGGGUGCGUCUUCAUUUCGCGAUAAGCUAAACGACUCUCGGCAACGGAUAUCUCGGCUCUUGCAUCGAUGAAGAACGUAGCGAAAUGCGAUACUUGGUGUGAAUUGCAGAAUCCCGUGAACCAUCGAGUCUUUGAACGCAAGUUGCGCCCGAGGCCUCAUGGCCGAGGGCACGUCUGCCUGGGUGUCACGCAUCGUCGCCACCGAUCCCCUCGGGUCACGAGGGCGGGGGCGGAUAGUGGCCUCCCGUGCGCUCGCGCUCGCGGUUGGCCGAAAAUCGAGUCCCGGGCGACGGUCGCCACGACGAGCGGUGGUUGAGAGACCCUCGAAAGCGGUCGUGCGCGUGCCCCGUCGCCCUGAGGGACCUCCAGGACCCUCGAGCAUCGGCUUUUCUAGGAUGCUCUCGUUGCGACCCCAGGUCAGGCGGGACUACCCGCUGAGUUUAAGCAUAUCAAUAAGCGGAGG
rnacentral:rRNA from 1 species